CAAAGUGAAGCAGCCUCACCCAACUUUCAGCCUCACUUAACCCUUCAUCCUCUCUGAAAUGGCUUUCCAACAAACCCUCUCAAGUCACUCUGUAUUUUUCAUCCCCUGGGAUACCCCUGUAAACAACCCAUCCAGAGCACAAGUAUUUCAUAUCAUAAAGGUUGAGAGCACGAGUAUCUCAUAUCAUGCUUUCUCCCUGUCCUUUCUCCAGCCAGCACCUGCUCUCGAGUACUCAUCAUCUUAUGCUUCCGCUUCGUCUCUCACGUAUAAGGGAA
rnacentral:lncRNA from 1 species